AAAAACAACUCUCAGCAACGGAUAUCUUGGCUCUUGCAACGAUGAAGAACGCAGCGAAAUGCGAUACGUAGUGUGAAUUGCAGAAUUCCGCGAAUCAUC
rnacentral:rRNA from 1 species